rnacentral:lncRNA from 1 species
CGUAUCCAACGAACGUUUGUUUGUUCGGAGCCAGAGCCCAUAUUGGAUCAUACUGACGUUAUUACUUAUUAGACCUUUAUGUUUAUAAAGGGAUAUAACAACAUAAAUCUUUUUUAUAUGUGUUUUUAAAACAGAACCAGUCAGAAAUAUUUAACUUUAGUGGAGAAGUGAGAGAAAGUUGGCUGCAAAUUUUAUGUCUAUGUUACAAAAAAUCCUUUGAAUAGAUAAAAAAAACUGUUUUUAUAAAGACAUAUCAUAGAUCUGUCACGUUGGAUUUGAGAAAAGAUUGUGAAUAUAUUAGAUUAUAUGUUAUAUAUUAAUGUUAUAUAGACUUUCCUUGUAGGUCCGUAAAUUGUGUCGUGACUCUAUGAAAGUCCCCUCCGUCUGUGAUGCCGCCUUUGCGUUCCAAUGCUGUAACGGAAGUCAGAUUGAAUACUGCUGUAAACCUGGCUUUGUAUGGGACGAUGUCAAUAAAAAUUGUCAACAAACAGUUGACACGACAACCACACCCCGACCACCGUGUCAUCACAAUCAAACUGUGAUGGACCUAACGAGUUCCUUCCCGACCCCUGUGUCUCCGAGUGUUACUACCAGUGCUCCUCUUCCGGGCUAGACGUCAGAUACUGAUGUAUUAAAGGAACGCUUUGGGACAAUUCAAUCAGAAAUUGUAUAUUCGCGUCAGCGAUGGAUCGAGUUGAAAUUUUAAACGUUCCACAACAGCCCACAACUCCUGAGAGGGAUAGUGAUUUUAUUACACAUCAAAUCGAAUUCAAAAUUUGUGGCGUACCAGGCUCCAUUUCACAUCCAAAACCGACAUUGCCAGCACAGACAAAAGGUGAGAGACUCACAACGAUUAAACACCAAAACCCAACUUAACUUCACUUCCAGCAAAACACUCAGAUCCGACUAGGAAACCAAUACAGAAUACAUACCUGCCUGAAAGUGAAACAAAACCACCAUAUUCUUCUAUCAAACCCAUACAGGAAACUGACAAAUCUUCUUCAAAAACAAAAUACACCUGACAACUAACAAAACAAACUGUUCCAAAAGUGACAUCAAUUAAACAAACAUAAAUUACAACACAAACAAAUAUGACCCGACAACGUCCCAAACAAACCAAAGUACACCAAUAAAGUCAGAAAAAUCACAAACUGACCAAGUAAUUUUACCAACCAAACAAACUGACAAAACAACGAUAUAAAGGAAACACACUUACCUAACAAGGCAACACACCAAACAAACUAACCCAACAGAGUAACCGCUAAAACAAACUGAUUCCACAAGAUCACCGACAAAACAAACUGACCGUACACAGUCAUCAGGAAAACAAGCAAACCUUGCAAACAAGACCACCGACGAAGUAAAAAUUCAAUACAGAGUCACCAGCAAAAUAAACUGACCAAUCAAAUUUACCAACAAAACAAUUAGACUCCAAAGCGACACCGCCACAACAAAUGAAUUCGACAAAGUCACCGACAAAGGCAACUGACUUAACAACGCAACAAACAAAACAAACUGUCAAAUUCAUAUAAUCGACAAGCAACCUUAUCGAACAACUUCACCAACGAAACAAACUUAUUCAUCAAUGUCACCGACAAAGCGAACUGAUAAGACAAGGUUUUUGACAGAACAAACUUAACCAACAAGGUCCCCUAUAAAACGAACUGACCAACCAAGUCCAACGACACAACACCCGACAAAGUCACCAAAAAAACAACCUUACCCAACGACGUGGACGACAAAACAAACUGACCAAACAGGGCAUCCGACAAUAAAAACUGGGCAAACAGGGAAUCCAGCAAUAGAAACUGGGCAAACAGGGUGUCUGACAAUGACAAUUGGGCAAACAGGGUAUCCAACAAUAGAAACUUGGCAAACAGGGUAUCCGACUUGACAAGACAACCAGACGAAACAAAGUCACAAACAGAAUGAUCUCUUCCGAAGAUUUUGUACAACACAAGAAUCUUAUCAAACAAAAUCACCGACAAAACAACCGCUAGAAACAGUUCAACAAACAAGAGAUAGCUGAAUUACCAAGGUCUAAGACAAAACAAACAUACCAAAUAAGGUCUUCGACAAAAAAAACUCACUCAUCAAGAUCACCAACUAAAGAAACUGGUCCUCCAAGAUCAUGGACAACACAAACAAAUUCAGCAAUGUAACAAACAAAGCAAAACGAACUGCCAAUACAACCGUCAAAACAAUCAGAUAUGACAAGGUCAAAAACAAAACAAACACAUGCAACAAUGUCAUGUACAACACAAACUGACCAUACAAAGUCAAUAAAACAACAAACCGAUCCAACAAUAUCACCGGCAAAACAAAAUUAUCCGACAAGGACAAAAACAAAGCAAGCAAUCCCAACAAAGUCCCGAACAAACCAAACUGACCACACAA